CCUACGGGAGGCAGCAGUGGGGAAUAUUGCACAAUGGGCGAAAGCCUGAUGCAGCAACGCCGCGUGAGUGAUGAAGGCCUUCGGGUUGUAAAGCUCUGUCUUCUGGGACGAUAAUGACGGUACCUGAGGAGGAAGCCACGGCUAACUACGUGCCAGCAGCCGCGGUAAU
rnacentral:rRNA from 1 species